rnacentral:rRNA from 1 species
CACGGGGGAGCAAGCGUUGUUCGGAAUCACUGGGCGUAAAGGGACGUGUAGGCGGCCAGGUAAGUGAGAUGUGAAAUUACCCCGGCUCACCCGGGGACCUGCAUCUCAUACUGCUUGGCUUGAGUACGGGAGAGGAUGAGGGAAUUCCUGGUGUAGCGGUGAAAUGCGUAGAUAUCAGGAGGAACACCGGUGGCGAAAGCGCUCAUCUGGCCCGAUACUGACGCUGAGGCGCGAAAGCUAGGGGAGC